rnacentral:misc_RNA from 1 species
UCUAAGGAUAUAUGCCGGACUUGUGAGCCGGACAAAAGUUGACCGCUUUUUGUUUGUUUAGUUUUGAGGGAGCAAUUCUCUCAAAGCUUUUUUAUUCUUUGUUCCUUGAAAACUAGAUAAUCGUAAGAAGAAGAAACCAAGUAAAAACCGAGUAAUCGCCAUUUUAGUUUUUCUCUCUUAAGUAAUUAAGAGUUUUAAACCUUUUAGGUUAAGUUAGAAAGGGCGCACGGUGGAUGCCUUGGCACUAGGAGCCGAUGAAGGACGGGACUAACACCGAUAUGCUUCGGGGAGCUGUAAGUAAGCUUUGAUCCGGAGAUUUCCGAAUGGGGAAACCCGGAAGC